CAAAGCGUAGCUUAAUCUCAAAGCGUCUUGCUUACACCAAGAAAAUAUCCGUUAAACUCAGAUCGCUCUGA
rnacentral:tRNA from 1 species